ensembl:lncRNA
GAAAACAUUUCCACAGCCCUUAUCCUUUGCAUUAGAUGCUGAACUCCUGGCACUUUUUAAUACUUUUAUGACAAAAUUUUUAGUAAUCUUUGCUUCAUUGGUAGCUGGCUAGAGAAGUAAAUUUGCUGUCUUCUGUAUUUUUCUGAAGAGCGAAAGAGUCGUAACAAAUACUCUUUCAAAAUAUCUCCUUUCACUGAGUAACUAAAAGGCUGCUUCUAUUUUUCUUCUUCAUAUUGGAAACAAGAAAAUAGGUACAGCUCAGGUGGAGGUUUUCCCAGCACUGUUUCUUAUCUUGGACAUCUGGUUCGUCAUGCCUGAAGGAAACUCUAAGCAUAAGGCAAGCGCAGAAUGAUGUUUCCACUGAAAUUGAAUUCAGCAUCUAGGAAACUAUAUGAUGUGGGCACUUUCUGAGCAGGUGGUUAGCUUAUCCUUCAGAUUGUUCAAUGCCCAACAGAAACAGAUGUGAUCCACAAGGAUUCCUGCCAGUACCGAUAGGAGCAACAUUGUGGCCAUAGUUCAUGACCCCCCAUUAGGGAAACAGUUCUUUCUUGUGUGUGAAAAUGCACCUCUUAGAAUUCUUGGGACACUCCUCCAUCUUGACAGGGCAGCCUACUGUCUUGAAUUUCCCAGAGGAGUUGUAUUCAUCCCAAAUUUCCUGUGUUCUGUUAACAAAUUCUCCCUAUUCCCUCUUUUACUGCUAUUCUAUACUUCCUCAAGUGAUGGAAGACUUUAAAGGUAUUUUACUUGUACUGGGCAACGUCCUGCUGAUUUUUCUGCCUUCACAAGUCACUUUUCCCUCAAUCCACUAGGUGAUUUUGGUUGUCUUGCCAAUUGUCUUUACUUUGCUAUACCUUGAAAUACUUCUGUGAUAGCUGUAGAACUACAUAGUGAAUGUCAUCAAGUGCUAUGAAAACCAUCAAAUAAAAAGGAAAACACUGCCUUGUGCGGAUUUAUGAUAUGUGUGUUUUUUUAAAAAAAAAUUAUUUGAUGUUGCUGGCAAAAUUUUAUGGAAAUAUUCUGUUUGUUGUUAUAAUGCUGUGCCCAAUAUGAUCUCUUGAAGCAUCAGGUUUUGAUGUUCAUUCAAAAGCACUACUUUGCAUUAUUCUUCAGGCUUCACAGAUUAAGACUGUAGAAGGUUACUCAGCUUAAACUUCUCUCCUGCAUCUCUGUUUUUCAAAUUGCUGAAAGUGGAUAUGGUCCAUUCAAGUUUUUGAUAUUUUUAGUGAUUUUUUUUCCUACCAUACAUUUCUAAAGUUCAGAGAAUAUGUGGCGUUUCUACUGUCAUCCUUAUGCAGGUUGCUCUUCACCAGUUGAUCUUUUUCUUGUUUUUGUUGUACUUUUCUAUGAUAUUUGCACUUCAGUCUCUUUCCAUUCAAUAUUUCAUAUUCUUUAGUUUUCUUGUUCAUUACAAUUCAGCUAAGCUUAUGAGUUUAGAAUUUUAAUGAAUAAUUCAGUCCUGUUCUGAGCAUUAUACAGGUAUUACUAGGAGUAAGUGUUCACAUUAUUUUCCAGAAUCAAGCCAAUUCUAGUGUGCAGAAUAAAAGUGAUAUGAAUAGACCGAAUCACAAAAUUUAUGCUAAUUUCUGUUGCAACUCAUUCAUGUAGGCCCCCACUGUAUUUUGAUUUGUUUCUUGACUUGAAAAUCUUAAGUAAGGAAAUGAAGAUUGGUUCUAAGCUGAAAUACUUCACAUGAUUACGGACAUAGAGAGCAUUUUCUCGUAUAUCUAAAUGUACAAGGUUGGAAAUGUUCGUUUGUAUACAUGAUACAUAUGUGAUUCUUAGUUCAGUAAAUCUAGCUUAUUUUUAUAAUUGUCUUUAUAACUAAAUUGUUUUUAAGUAAUGAAAUAGGAUAACUGUAGUAGAAGUUAAAUAAAGAAUAGAGAAGUAAAUGUAUUUUAUUUUCCAGCCUUUCAUUAAAUAUUACUAGAUUACAUGUCAUUUGUAAACAGC